UGGGGAAUUUUGGACAAUGGGCGCAAGCCUGAUCCAGCCAUGCCGCGUGCGGGAAGAAGGCCUUCGGGUUGUAAACCGCUUUUGUCAGGGAAGAAAUCUUCUGAGUUAAUACCUCGGGAGGAUGACGGUACCUGAAGAAUAAGCACCGGCUAACUACGUGCCAGCAGCCGCGGUAAUACGUAGGGUGCAAGCGUUAAUCGGAAUUACUGGGCGUAAAGCGUGCGCAGGCGGUUUUGUAAGACAGAGGUGAAAUCCCCGGGCUCAACCUGGGAACUGCCUUUGUGACUGCAAGGCUUGAGUGCGGCAGAGGGGGGAUGGAAUUCCGCGUGUAGCAGUGAGAUGCGUAGAUAUGCGGAGGAACACCGAUGGCGAAGGCAAUCCCCUGGGCCUGCACUGACGCUCAUGCACGAAAGCGUGGGGAGCAAACAGGAUUAGAUACCCUGGUAGUCCACGCCCUAAACGAUGUCAACUGGUUGUUGGGAAGGUUCCUUCUCAGUAACGUAGCUAACGCGUGAAGUUGACCGCCUGGGGAGUACGGCCGCAAGGUUGAAACUCAAAUGAAUUGACGGGGUCAUAGCUGUUUCCUG
rnacentral:rRNA from 1 species